rnacentral:rRNA from 1 species
GGGGGAGCGCGGUCAAGGUGCCGCGGUAAAACGGGCCAAACGAACGUUAUGUGGAAUGACUGGGCUUAAAGGGUGGUUAGGGGGUGCGGAAAGUUGGGUGUGAAAUCCCUCGGCUCAAGCGAGGAACUGCGGCCAAAACUACCGUACUUGAGGAAGAUAGAGGGGGGCGGAACUGACAGUGGAGCGGUGAAAUGCGGUGAUAUUGUAAGGAACACCCGUGGCGAAAGCGGCUCACUGGGUCUUUUCUGACGCUGAUGCACGAAAGCUAGGGGAGCAAACGGGAUUAGAUACCCUGUAGUC